rnacentral:rRNA from 1 species
AAUCCAUAGGUUAAUGAGGCGAACCGGGGGAACUGAAACAUCUAAGUACCCCGAGGAAAAGAAAUCAACCGAGAUUCCCCCAGUAGCGGCGAGCGAACGGGGAGGAGCCCAGAGCCUGAAUCAGCAUGUGUGUUAGUGGAAGCGUCUGGAAAGGCGCGCGAUACAGGGUGACAGCCCCGUACACAAAAGCGCAUGUGCUGUGAGCUCGAUGAGUAGGGCGGGACACGUGGUAUCCUGUCUGAAUAUGGGGGGACCAUCCUCCAAGGCUAAAUACUCCUGACUGACCGAUAGUGAACCAGUACCGUGAGGGAAAGGCGAAAAGAACCCCGGCGAGGGGAGUGAAAAAGAACCUGAAACCGUGUACGUACAAGCAGUGGGAGCACAGGUUUACCUGUGUGACUGCGUACCUUUUGUAUAAUGGGUCAGCGACUUAUAUUCUGUAGCAAGGUUAACCGAAUAGGGGAGCCGGAGGGAAACCGAGUCUUAAUUGGGCGUUAAGUUGCAGGGUAUAGACCCGAAACCCGGUGAUCUAGCCAUGGGCAGGUUGAAGGUUGGGUAACACUAACUGGAGGACCGAACCGACUAAUGUUGAAAAAUUAGCGGAUGACCUGUGGCUGGGGGUGAAAGGCCAAUCAAACCGGGAGAUAGCUGGUUCUCCCCGAAAGCUAUUUAGGUAGCGCCUCGUGAAUUCAUCUCCGGGGGUAGAGCACUGUUUCGGCUAGGGGGCCAUCCCGGCUUACCAACCCGAUGCAAACUGCGAAUACCGGAGAAUGUUAUCACGGGAGACACACGGCGGGUGCUAACGUCCGUCGUGAAGAGGGAAACAACCCAGACCGCCAGCUAAGGUCCCAAAGUCAUGGUUAAGUGGGAAACGAUGUGGGAAGGCCCAGACAGCCAGGAUGUUGGCUUAGAAGCAGCCAUCAUUUAAAGAAAGCGUAAUAGCUCACUGGUCGAGUCGGCCUGCGCGGAAGAUGUAACGGGGCUAAACCAUGCACCGAAGCUGCGGCAGCGAACGUAUCACCCAAGACAACUUUACGGAGUUGACGAUUGACGGAGCGAAGCGACGUCAAAGCGUUCAUUAAAGUCG